rnacentral:lncRNA from 1 species
UUUUGGGCAAAAUUGAUAUUGUGGCAGUUCGAAAUGCACCUGCCUCUGGGUUCGUAUCUCAACUGCCAUAUGCAUUACGCUACCAUUUUUUUCGAAGUAGGAUUCAAUUGUUUCUAGUGCAUUUGUUAAACUGUAAUUAUACGUAGUUAUCAACUUCGUUGGAUGUUUUGAAGCAUGAUUUUGGGCAAAAUUGAUAUUGUGGCUGUUCGAAAUGCACCUGCCUCUGGGUUCGCAUCUCAAUUGCCAUAUGCAUUGCGCCACCAUUUUUUUCGAAGUAGGAUUCAAUUGUUUCUAGUGUAUUUGUUAAACUGUAAUUAUAUGUAGUUAUCAACUUCGUUGGAUGUUUUGGAGUAUGAUUUUGGGCAAAACUGAUAUUGUGGCAGUUCGAAAUGCACCUGCCUCUGGGUUCGCAUCUCAACUGCCAUAUGCAUUGCGCUACCCUUUUUUCCAAAGUAUUUGUUUGGCCGUAUACUCUUCUACGAAAUCUGUCCCUUGACCUAUAAUACCAUAAACUGAGACUAGAAUGUUUUAUGCAAUUUCUGGAACAUAGUCUUCGUUA